rnacentral:rRNA from 1 species
GACGUAGGGCGCGAGCGUUGUCCGGAUUUAUUGGGCGUAAAGAGCUCGUAGGCGGCUCGUUGCGUCGGCUGUGAAAACCCGCAGCUCAACUGUGGGCUUGCAGCUGAUACGGGCGGGCUGGAGUUCGGUAGGGGAGACUGGAAUUCCUGGAUGUAGCGGUGAAAUGCGCAGAUAUCAGGAGGAACACCGGUGGCGAAGGCGGGUCUCUGGGCCGAUACUGACGCUGAGGAGCGAAAGCGUGGGGAGCGAACAGGA